UACGUAGGUGGCGAGCGUUAUCCGGAUUUAUUGGGCGUAAAGCGUGCGCAGGCGGUUUAUUAAGUCUAAGAUUAAAGCCCGGAGUUUAACUCCGGUUCGUCUUAGAAACUGGUAGACUUGAGUAUGGUAGAGGCAAAUGGAAUUCCUAGUGUAGCGGUGGAAUGCGUAGAUAUUAGGAGGAACACCAGUGGCGAAGGCGAUUUGCUGGGCCAUUACUGACGCUCAUGCACGAAAGCGUGGGGAGCAAAUAGG
rnacentral:rRNA from 1 species